GCGCGGCAACAGUGAGCGCAUAUACUAACGUUGCAACGAUGCAGAUGAUCAGCAUGGCCCUGCACAAGGAUGACAUGCUAGUUCCUGAAGCUUCCGUAUUUUCA
ensembl:snRNA U6 U6 spliceosomal RNA